rnacentral:lncRNA from 1 species
GAGAGACCCGAUACCCAACCAUUUAUUCCAGCUUUUCGAAUUUGUGCUGGUUGCAGGUUCACAGAGUAUGAAGGCCUCUGGUUCUAUUCAGCUGCCUCCUCUUUCGGCUACGCUGCCUCUCCAGGCGGGAGGACUUGGGGAUCUGCAGAGAAGGGAGCCUUUGCAGGUGUAGUGCUGAAGACCCGUUUACCAGGUAGGUGUCCUGUCUUCCUGACUUCCAGUGUGGCCCGUCUCCUCCUUCAGUCUCUCUGUGAGGUC